rnacentral:rRNA from 1 species
GACAGAGGGGCAAGCGUUGCUCGGAAUUACUGGGCGUAAAGGGCUCGUAGGUGGCCAACUAAGUCAGACGUGAAAUCCCUCGGCUUAACCGGGAACUGCGUCUGAUACUGGAUGGCUUGAGUUCGGGAGAGGGAUGCGGAAUUCCAGGUGUAGCGGUGAAAUGCGUAGAUAGUCUGGAGGAACACCGGCGGCGAAGGCAGCACUCUGGCCGGUACUGACGCUGAGGAGCGAAAGCGUGGGGAGCGAACGAGG